CUCCUGGGUCGGCUGUGCAACAUAAUGCUUGAUGAAAUAAUCCCUGAGGUACUCUACAGAUUUGUCUUUUAUUGUUAAUCACUACAAGGCACAAGGGGAAUCACAAAUUAACCUCCUCAUGGAAUACGAGUUCUCUUGGUAAUAGGCAAUGGCCUGCCCAGCUGGAAUUCAGAAAGAAGUAAUGAAGCAGAUGCAAGCCUCAAAUCACACCUGCUCCAGAGGUGUAGAAGAACUUCUCUGAACAGGUUGACUUAAAAAAUAGGUGAAAUAAACAUUUUGAGAGCCCUCUUGUGGUGCAGAGGUGUUGUCUCUACCCCAGACCAGGAGGCAUGGGUUCAAGUCCCACCUGCUUCAGGCAAUUGAAAAAAAAACAAGGCCAAGAGUGUGGCACUGGAAAAGCACAGCAGGUCAGGCUCUUUCCCGAAACAUCCAUUCUUCUGCUCCUUGAAUGCUGCCUGAUCUGCUGCACUUUUCCAGCACCACACUUCCACUCCGAUCGCCAACAUCUGCAGUACUCACUUCCUCCGAAACGAAAAAAAGCAAACCAAGCCCCCUCCGACUCUAUUCUGAUUCAGUCUCUUCCCUUUUCACAAACCAGGGAUAGAUCUGCAGAACUGUCUAUCGCAGGAUUUGGACUAGCUUUUACACACCAUGAAUUGUAGCUCUAACUUGAUGUUCAACAGUAAACAAUUAUCCUUUCCAGUCAGAGCUAUUGCAUUUUCCACGUCACCCUUGCCAAUCCAAAUCAGCCUACUCCUGCCCUUAUUUCUUAACAACUCAGCUGAAAUUGCAGCACUGAAAUCACUCAGUGUGUUUUGGUAGUGAGCUCCUAGGAUUCAGAAAUGAAUCUCAUCAAAUUGUCAGUUUUAACCUUGCAGGUUCCUCUUUUGCCUUUGCAAGGUGAGAGUGGCCUGACAGGUACUGCUGGUUAAGGAAAUUAUGGGCUCACUCUGUUAGAUCUAGAAUAUUGGAUACCUGGUCCUAACAAGCAUCCUUUAAGUGCAGCAUUUGAAUAAUGCAAAUAGAGGGAACUACAUCACAAGAAUUGUCCUUAUCUGCAUCUGCCUUCAACAUAGCAACCUAAAUACCAUCUUCUAUCGGGGCGCUGCUGUUGAAGAUGGCACUAUUUAUCAACAUCAACUCUACAUUUGCAAUCCAAAAAUAUCGAGCUCAAGACCUGCUCUUAAAUACCCACCAUGAAACAAUUUCACCAUGUUACUAAUGACUGCGUCCUGGAACAAUAAUAACAAUCCAAAGCCAAAACUAUCAACACAGUUGAACUAUCAACAUGGACACAGUACACUAAAUAUGCAUCACUAAUAUGCUGACCUCGAUUGUUAAUUUUUAAUCUGCCAAAUUAACUAGGCAAUAUGCAACUGCAUAUCAGAGCUCUCUGGUUCAUCAACCCUGCCUGCCCCGUGCAAUUUCUGCAUUCAUGUUCUCUAGAACAAAGAGCUACACUACAGCGACUAACUUCUAAAAAUGAUGCACUCAAACGUUCAAAGAAACUCAACAAUUCUUUUCAGUUUUCAUAUUCAAAGCAGUAAAAAACUGAAAGAUUGAAUAACUACUUAAAGAAAAAUACACACGUGCUAUGUUACAAAACAUAAUGGUUCUGAAGUUAUGCAGUGAUUCACUUGAAAGUCUGAAAUCUUCAGCUAACUCCAGGAGCAACCGUCUUUUCAGCUGUUUUUAAUUGAUUUCUUCAAGAGUUCCAGUAACCAUCUUCCACAGUUAUAGCGGCAGAUGGGGAAAACUGAUGAUAAAAUUCAGCAUUGAUUUUAGGUAAUGGAACAAAUCCAAUGCGUUGUUUUUUUCAUUGUUUAAUUAAUUCAGGAACGCAGUCAGAUCAGCCAUGCCUUAGCAAGUCCCAGCAAGUUUACUUCAAUAACCUCAGCCAUCACCACAAUUCAACUCACAACAAACAUGAAAUAACAGUAGUUCACAAUGCCAAUAUAUGAUUGAUCAUUCCCCAACAACAGCACACAAAGAUCUUUGUCCUGAAAUGGUUUCCAUACACAUCAGCAAGUGUGCAUUAGAAAAUACAAAUGCAAGUCAAUAACACUAUGAGUACAGGUGUUUCCCUUUUCUUUGUGGUGACCAUGUUCAAAACUGCUGACAUCAAUCUUCUGUUGAAAAGUCCAUUCUUAUUGUGUCUGUUUACCUGGAGUCAAGGAGGUGGGGGAGUGGAUACCAGUGAAAUACACCAAGAAAAGGAAAGCCUACCAGGCCCCCAAAGCCUCACAGCAAAACAAAGAGACAGAUACAUGAGGAUGACACCAGCAGCUCAUCUGAUGGCAAAGAGGGCAAUCAUCAGAAAAAGAGGCAGAGCACCACACGGGAAAGAGAGAGAAGUAACCACUAACCCGGAAAUGACAGACCCUCCGAGGGGAGAAUCAGGGGUACCCACUGCACCACAGCUCCAGGCAACUGGGAUCUGUGAUCCUCUGACAGUCCCUCUGUCAGACUCAGAACUAAACUCUGCUGAGCUUGUUCUCACCUUGAUGACACCAGACUCGGGAAAUGGCCCCAGGGAGAAACUGGACAGCUAGCUCAAGCCUGCGAGGGUCCAACAGUUCACUCACACCACGGGGAUGUGGACAGUCUCCCCAGUGACAGGUCCAUUGGUGAAUGAACAUGGGUAACUUGAUAAAUUUUAAAACAGGUGUUAAAAUUGCCAGCGUUAACAUGCAUCACAUUAAAUCUUCCGCGCAAUGUGCUUCCAUGUUGGUUCUCCUAAAGCUUGGGACAGCUGCCACCAAGGUGCAGUGGGGAAAGACAACCGUGUAAGGUCCUUCUGCCAAAGAUGGAUGGGGGUUCAUUCAAUUAUUGGUCCCUGCUGACGCCUCAACUAAAUGCCAAGAGGUUGACGGUAGCAUUGGCAAGCAUUCAAUAGAAGUGGAAAACUGAGCCAACAAACAUCCCAUUCUUCGUUGACAUCCACACACACGUGUCGACCAAUAGACAGAGUAAUUAUCCAGAAACAGGAAACCUGAUUCAUUUUGGAGAAAUUUGAACAAUCUAUUACGUCCCAUCUGAAAUAAAACCAUCUGCUAGAUCAAGAUCGUCAGAGUCAACCACAUCGGGUGAGAUGAAGGUGCCAGAUUUCAAAAUUGAGAAAAUGAUGCUUUAGUUGUCCCCAGCCUUGGUCAGGCUCCGUACUGAGUACUGAAAGAGACACUUUGAACACACUGCUCCUUGGUUAUAAAGAUACUUUGGUAAAUUCACAAGAAUAACAUCAACAUCUGAGGAGUCAAAUUAUGAAGGAAAAGCGAAGUAUAAUGCCAGAGGAAAAACUGACCGGGUAAUGUACCACAACUGGUCCAAUCUGAUGUCAAUGGAGAAAGCAGGAUGGCAGCACAAGAGUGAAUGGAUAAUGAGGAACUUCGAUUACCCUGCAUUCGAUUAUCUGAAUAUCGGAUUAUCCGGCAAGAUCGCAAGGUCCUGAUGCUCGGCUAAACUAUGUUAUCCAG